CCUGCUCCCGCGCCACAGUUUAAGCCCCUAGGCUUCUUUCUUCCCGCGUCGCGCGCUCGGGCUCCUCGCUAGCCCCUGAGAAGUCGCAUCGCUGGACCGUUGGAGGAAUUUGCAUUUUCUUUGAGGCCUAAUGAAUACGAAUUAGCUCCCCGACGACUACAUAUCCCGGAGGGCCCUGCGCGAGCUUCGAGCAGUGCAUUCUGGGACUCGUGGUUCCUGCGUCUGCAGCAAGCCUGCCGGUACUUGUGGUCCCUCCGCCCUCCGGUCGCCCGACUGCGCCCUUGCAUGGAAUGGUGGGACUUGUAGUUCAGAUGCCGCGGUCGGCUGCUCCCGGCGAGGCUCCAGCUACUGCUCUGGCCGUGUUCCCCCGAGUAACAGCGGGUGCUCAGGGGUCCCUAGGGCCGUCACAGGCUCGAGGGCACAGUCCUGGAAAAAUAUAUAUUAAUUACACGUGAUGUAUAUUUUAUAUGUAAUUGAUGUUAGUUAUGUAUCGUGUAUAAUAUAGGGACUAUUAUAUAUGAAAAACAUAGUAUGAAUUUGGCUGUAUUUAUAGAGCAUAAAAGUGCGUUUGUGGGUACUCGUAGGAAAAAAAUUUCCAAACUAUAGCCAGUUCCCAGAAAUGUUAUUCCUGCUUACUGGUAUUGCUGGGAUUACCACUGCUUUUUCAUUUUUCUUCUUUAUACUCGCCUCUGUUUUCUGAGUUGUUUACAACGAGCUAAAAUUCAUUUGAUCCUCCAAACACGAAACGGUGGACCUAUUUUCAUUCGGAAAGGAAAACGCUGUACCGUUAGUUUCCUGCCCACUUCUCUUUCGCCAAUAAUAACACCAUACUCAGGGCAGUAACCAGCUGUGCGGCCUUGGGUAACCUUGUUGCGUUAGGGGCUCUUCAAGAAAUAGCCCUCGGGGGUCUCCUGAGACUGGUCACUGGAUUCCUCUGCAGGAAAAGUGCCCUAAAGAAAUUCCAAAGAACCACAAAAGGUCAGCGCUGGGAAGAUCCUGAUAAUGAAAUGAGAUCUGUCCUGUUCAGAGGUUUAUUUACUUUUCCCUUUGCUGCCCAGGAAGCUCAAAUAGACGAAGGUGUGCCGUAUUGACAGCUGAUUAACCAUGGUUUACAAAAAAUUAAAUAGCUAGAAAUUAGCGAAGACAACUGCCUACCAAUGAAAGUUGACUUCCCUACCACAGGGGACUCUUCUCCUUGCCAUCAGUCCUUACAAGAAUCCAAUCCAGGGAAUUCCCCGGUGGUCCAGUGGUUAGGACUCCACACUCUCACUGCUGAGGGCCAGGGUUCAAUCCCUGGUCGGGGAACUAAGAUCCCACGAGCCACACAGCGCAGCCAAAAAUAUAUAUAUAUAUAAAGAAUCCAAUCCAAGUUCCUGGAGUUAACUAGGCUGAAGUCACAUCACUGGGGGCUUUAUGGAAAGAGACGGGGGUGCAUGCUGGCCUGGAUGGUACCAGACACGGGGGACCACGUGGAUGUGCGUGCGCCAGGCGUUUGCAAAGAUCUCCAAGGCCCCUUCUUCAAAACCGUGCAGAGCCCACUUCAGGCACACCCUGGAAUCCUUAGAAGGUCCUGUUCCUGAAGAUGCACCAGCAUGGAGAACAGACGCAGUGCAGUGAACCCAGGCAGGUGAUGACCGUCAGGACAGCACUGCUGGUUUGACGUCCAUGUAAAGACAAAAUUUCAGCUACAAAGCAUCCCCUCAGGCUCUUCAGAUCGGGAAUCAGCAGAUCCAUAAAAUCAAUAAAAGUGUAUGCCGAAAAUCAUGGUAUAAAAAAUCCAGUGGAGAAGCCAAAGAAAUUACUGUGAAUAACACAUGUAGAAACUUCCGUGCGUUUUCAAGAUUUUUGCCCAAUGUGAGUUUUUCUUUCUUUCUUUCUUUCCUUCUUUCCUCCUUUCUUUCUUUUUCUUUCUUUUUUUUUUUUUUUACUAGAAUAGAAUUUUUUUAUGAAUAGCGUAUGUAUCUUUUGGGAUCUUAAAGUACUUUGGAGAGCAUUUGGUUGCAUUUAGGAGUGAAUUUGAAUUUCUAUCAUAUAAGAAUAAAGCACUGGGAGUUCCCUGGUGGUCCAGUGGUUAAGACUCCGCACUCCCACUGCAGGGGGCGCGGGUUCGAUCGAUCCCUGGUCCGGGGACUAAGAUCCCACAUGCUGUGUGGUGCAGCCAAAAAGAAAAUAGAAAGAAAAAAAGAAGAAGAAAGCAUUAUUUGAAAAGAGUAAUGCCAAGAAAUUUGAAGGAUCUUAUAGAAAGGUGGGCUCCAAACUUUUUUGAUCACACACUCAUUUCAGCAAAAAGAUUUUGGGUCUGCCCCUCCAACGCAUGUGUAUUUAUGUAUGAAUUAGAUCCAUGUAUCAGAUACUAAUGUACUGUGUACUCUAUGAAACAUGUGAAAAAUAGAAAUUAUAAAAGGUGA